GCGAUUCUCCCCUCCUCCGGCGUGCGAUUCUUUAUACUGCAAAGGUUCCCAGAACUAUCCCAGACAACCUUGGACACAAGUAAAAUCCAAUACAAUAGGGACGUAGGGCAAGCAAUCUUAGAGAGCUACUCAAGAGUAUUGGAAGGUUUAGCAUUCAAUAUUGUCACAUGGUUAGAGGGCGUGCUAUCGGCAGACAGGUUAAUGAAACACCAAGUUCAGAGGAAACCAUGAAGGAGUUUGAUUCUAAAGAUGAAAUCUAAGUCCAGUUCUCUUCUCCAAACCUCAAUUUUGUAUAUUAAGAGAUUUCUCUUCUUAUAAGCAUCAAAAGGGGAACAUUCAAAUGUAUAACAAUCUGCAGAGUUAGUUGUAAUUGUACCUGGAUAGAAAACGAUCAAGGCUGAGAAAUUUUAAGAUUAAA